GAUGAAGAACGUAGCGAAAUGCGAUACUUGGUGUGAAUUGCAGAAUCCCGUGAACCAUCGAGUUUUUGAACGCAAGUUGCGCCCGAAGCCGUUAGGCCGAGGGCACGCCUGCCUGGGCGUCACACGUCGUUGCCCCCCCAUCUACUCCUUCGGGAUUGCGGGGGGCGGAUGAUGGCCUCUCGUGCGCCUCGUCGCGCGGUUGGCCUAAAUGCCAAGUCCUCGGCGACGCACGCCACGACAAUCGGUGGUUGCGAAACCUCGGUUGCCUGUCGUGUGCGGUCGUCGCGCAUCGAGGGCUCGAAAAAAUUGCCGGGCUUCGGCUCGACUUUCAACGCGACCCCAGGUCAGGCGGGGUUACCCGCUGAAUUUAAGCAUAUCAAUAAGCGGAGGA
rnacentral:misc_RNA from 1 species